rnacentral:pre_miRNA from 1 species
GCCUUCUCUUCCCAGUUCUUCCCAGAGUGGGGAAAAGCUGGGUUGAAAGGGCGAAAAUGAACAAGGG